rnacentral:rRNA from 1 species
AUACGGAGGAUCCGAGCGUUAUCCGGAUUUAUUGGGUUUAAAGGGUGCGCAGGCGGCCAUUUAAGUCAGCGGUUAAAUCGUGGGGCUCAACCCCAUUCUGCCGUUGAUACUGGGUGGCUUGAUUGCGGUCGAGGUUGGCGGAAUUCGUUGUGUAGCGGUGAAAUGCGUAGAUAUGACGAAGAACACCGAUUGCGUAGGCAGCUGACCAGACCGCAAAUGACGCUCAUGCACGAAAGUGCGGGGAUCGAACAGGAUUAGAUACCCUGGUAGUCCGCACAGUAAACGAUGAAUACUUGUUUUCGGCGAUAUAAUGUCGGAGGCAAAGCGAAAGCGAUAAGUAUUCCACCUGGGGAGUACGCCGGCAACGGUGAAACUCAAAGGAAUUGACGGGG